AGUGAACGCUGGCGGUAGGCCUAACACAUGCAAGUCGAACGGCAGCACCGUAAGAGCUUGCUCUUACGUGUGGCGAGUGGCGGACGGGUGAGGAAUACAUCGGAAUCUACUUUUUCGUGGGUGAUAACGUAGGGAAACUUACGCUAAUACCGCAUACGACCUACGGGUGAAAGCAGGGGAUCUUCGGACCUUGCGCGAUUGAAUGAGCCGAUGUCGGAUUAGCUAGUUGGCGGGGUAAAGGCCCAUCAAGGCGACGAUCCGUAGCUGGUCUGAGAGAAUGAGCAGAGACACUGGGAGUGAGAAACAGUCGAGACUCUUACGCGAGGGAGGAGUGGGGAAUAUUGGACAAUGGGGGAAAGGAUGAACGAGCAAUGGCGGGUGAGUGAUGAAGGCGUGAGGGAAGUAAAGCACGUUUACCCGGGAUGAUAAUGACAGUACCGGGAGAAUAAGCCCCGGCUAACUCCGUG
rnacentral:rRNA from 1 species